UAUCUAAUUCAUGAUUUGAAAAAAUUGGGAUGACUAGGUCUCAAAACUCUCUCGGUGAUUUUUGUGCUUCCUGUAUGCUGCUUCCUAUCAUGAGCAUGCAAAUUUUACUAGAAAUUCUAUAAAAAAAUAUAGUCCUCUGAGGGACUUCCUUUGCAAAAACUUUUUUUUAGCUUCAAAAUUUUUGAAAAAAACCGUUCACCAAAGAAGACUUCCUUAAAGUCACAAUACAAUUU
rnacentral:misc_RNA from 1 species